CUACGGGUCGCUCCAGUGAGGAAUAUUGCACAAUGGGGGGAACCCUGAUGCAGCAACGCCGCGUGGAGGAUGACGCAUUUCGGUGUGUAAACUCCUUUUAUAUGUCAAGAAAAUGACGGUAGCAUAUGAAUAAGCACCGGCUAACUCCGUGCCAGCAGCCGCGGUAAUACGGAGGGUGCAAGCGUUACUCGGAAUCACUGGGCGUAAAGGACGCGUAGGCGGGCUUGUAAGUCAGGUGUGAAAUCCUACAGCUUAACUGUAGAACUGCACUUGAAACUACGAGCCUAGAGUAUGGGAGGGGGAGAUGGAAUUAGUGGUGUAGGGGUAAAAUCCGUAGAUAUCACUAGGAAUACCUAAAGCGAAGGCGAUCUCCUGGAACACUACUGACGCUAAGGCGUGAAAGCGUGGGGAGCAAACAGGAUUAGAUACCCCCGUAGUC
rnacentral:rRNA from 1 species